rnacentral:rRNA from 1 species
CAGUCGCCGCGGGAAUACAGAGGGUGCAAGCGUUAAUCGGAAUUACUGGGCGUAAAGCGCGCGUAGGUGGUUUGUUAAGUUGGAUGUGAAAUCCCCGGGCUCAACCUGGGAACUGCAUUCAAAACUGACUGACUAGAGUAUGGUAGAGGGUGGUGGAAUUUCCUGUGUAGCGGUGAAAUGCGUAGAUAUAGGAAGGAACACCAGUGGCGAAGGCGACCACCUGGACUAAUACUGACACUGAGGUGCGAAAGCGUGGGGAGCAAACAGGAUUAGAUACCCCUGUAGUCCCUGUCUCUUAUAA